rnacentral:rRNA from 1 species
UUCGCCCUUAGAGUUUGAUCCUGGCUCAGGACGAACGCUGGCGGCGUGCUUAACACAUGCAAGUCGAACGAGAAUCUACUGAAAGAGUCUUCGGACAAUGGAUGUAGAGGAAAGUGGCGGACGGGUGAGUAACGCGUGAGGAACCUGCCUUGAAGAGGGGGACAACAGUUGGAAACGACUGCUAAUACCGCAUGAUGCAUAGGGGUCGCAUGAUCUUUAUGCCAAAGAUUUAUCGCUUCAAGAUGGCCUCGCGUCUGAUUAGCUAGUUGGCGGGGUAACGGCCCACCAAGGCGACGAUCAGUAGCCGGACUGAGAGGUUGAACGGCCACAUUGGGACUGAGAUACGGCCCAGACUCCUACGGGAGGCAGCAGUGGGGAAUAUUGGGCAAUGGGCGCAAGCCUGACCCAGCAACGCCGCGUGAAGGAAGAAGGCUUUCGGGUUGUAAACUUCUUUUAAGAGGGAAGAGUAGAAGACGGUACCUCUAGAAUAAGCCACGGCUAACUACGUGCCAGCAGCCGCGGUAAUACGUAGGUGGCAAGCGUUGUCCGGAUUUACUGGGUGUAAAGGGCGUGCAGCCGGGUCUGCAAGUCAGAUGUGAAAUCCAUGGGCUCAACCCAUGAACUGCAUUUGAAACUGUAGAUCUUGAGUGUCGGAGGGGCAAUCGGAAUUCCUAGUGUAGCGGUGAAAUGCGUAGAUAUUAGGAGGAACACCAGUGGCGAAGGCGACUUACUGGACUGAAACUGACGUUGAGGCACGAAAGUGUGGGGAGCAAACAGGAUUAGAUACCCUGGUAGUCCACACUGUAAACGAUGAAUACUAGGUGUGCGGGGACUGACCCCCUGCGUGCCGCAGUAAACACAAUAAGUAUUCCACCUGGGGAGUACGACCGCAAGGUUGAAACUCAAAGGAAUUGACGGGGGCCCGCACAAGCAGUGGAGUAUGUGGUUUAAUUCGACGCAACGCGAAGAACCUUACCAAGUCUUGACAUCCCUUGACGAUGCUGGAAACAGUAUUUCUCUUCGGAGCAAGGAGACAGGUGGUGCAUGGUUGUCGUCAGCUCGUGUCGUGAGAUGUUGGGUUAAGUCCCGCAACGAGCGCAACCCUUAUGGUCAGUUACUACGCAAGAGGACUCUGGCCAGACUGCCGUUGACAAAACGGAGGAAGGUGGGGAUGACGUCAAAUCAUCAUGCCCUUUAUGACUUGGGCUACACACGUACUACAAUGGCGUUAAACAAAGAGAAGCAAGACCGCGAGGUGGAGCAAAACUCAGAAACAACGUCCCAGUUCGGACUGCAGGCUGCAACUCGCCUGCACGAAGUCGGAAUUGCUAGUAAUCGUGGAUCAGCAUGCCACGGUGAAUACGUUCCCGGGCCUUGUACUCACCGCCCGUCA